UACGGGGGGGGCAAGCGUUGUUCGGAAUUACUGGGCGUAAAGGGCUCGUAGGCGGCCAACUAAGUCAGACGUGAAAUCCCUCGGCUUAACCGGGGAACUGCGUCUGAUACUGGAUGGCUUGAGUUUGGGAGAGGGAUGCGGAAUUCCAGGUGUAGCGGUGAAAUGCGUAGAUAUCUGGAGGAACACCGAUGGCGAAGGCAGGUCUCUGGGCUGAGAUUGACGCUCAGGCACGAAAGCGUGGGGAGCAAACAGG
rnacentral:rRNA from 1 species